rnacentral:rRNA from 1 species
AUUGAACGCUAGCGGGAUGCUUUACACAUGCAGGUCGAACGGCAGCGCGGACUUCGGUCUGGCGGCGAGUGGCGAACGGGUGAGUAAUGUAUCGGAACGUGCCCAGUAGCGGGGGAUAACUACGCGAAAGCGUAGCUAAUACCGCAUACGCCCUACGGGGGAAAGCAGGGGAUCGUAAGACCUUGCACUAUUGGAGCGGCCGAUAUCGGAUUAGCUAGUUGGUGAGGUAACGGCUCACCAAGGCGACGAUCCGUAGCUGGUUUGAGAGGACGACCAGCCACACGGGGACUGAGGCACGGCCCAGACUCCUACGGGAGGCAGCAGUGGGGAAUUUUGGACAAUGGGGGCAACCCUGAUCCAGCCAUCCCGCGGGUGCGAUGAAGGCCUUCGGGUUGUAAAGCACUUUUGGCAGGAAAGAAACGUCGCGGGCUAAUACCCCGUGGAACUGACGGUACCUGCAGAAUAAGCACCGGCUAACUAC